rnacentral:rRNA from 1 species
AACGAGCGCAACCCUGCCUUAGUUACCAGCACGUUAUGGUGGGCACUCUAAGGAGACUGCCGGUGACAAACCGGAGGAAGGUGGGGAUGACGUCAAGUCAUCAUGGCCCUUACGGCCUGGGCUACACACGUGCUACAAUGGUCGGUGCAAAGGGUUGCCAAGCCGCGAGGUGGAGCUAAUCCCAUAAAACCGAUCGUAGUCCGGAUCGCAGUCUGCAACUCGACUGCGUGAAGUCGGAAUCGCUAGUAAUCGUGAAUCAGAAUGUCACGGUGAAUACGUUCCCGGGCCUU